CGUACCCUGCUGUGCACGUGUUGCCGCAAACCGGUUUUGAGCCAACACUCACUAAUGGGGUCUCAAUCUCACGGAAGUGACGCGAUAGGCCUGAGCCAAGGCGGAUCUUACGGGGAGAGGCCCAACCUGCGAAGGCAGGUUCAAAACUGCGCUGCACACGGCAUGGUGGGGUGUUU
rnacentral:other from 1 species